AUGGUCGGUCAGCUCAUGGCUCGGCAUGCAGAUGGGGUCACAUUGGAGAUAAUCAAAGAGGAAAAGAUCGCUGUGGAAACUUCGUUGAGAUAAGCAAUACAGUUGAUCACGACCGCUUCGCUGGUCAGUCGCUGCAGGAAGAGCACAGAGGUAAAGAGAUUAAGUGCCUUGACGAAAAUAAAGGACCACCAAACGUCCUGCAACGGAAUAAAUGAGCUCUUCCGAUCCUUCCGGUUCUUAAGCUGAUCCGCAGACCUGCAAGUAUGUUUGGGCCUCGCGGGUACGCAGUGUCUGUUGCGUACAUCCUCUUCUAGGACGUAACAGCGCCUGCUGACAAAACUUGACAGCAAAUUGACAGUAGAAACUAAACAAGA